CAUGUAAUUAGGCCCUGAUCACAGAUGACACAAAUAAUUGGAAGGAUUUCUUUUGUUGUUGGAUUAAAAAAAACAAAGUACUUUUUUUUCGCAGCAAUCGCUUUCGUCAGUCACAUGAGAUAAUCUCACAUUCCGUAUGAUCACCCCUUGACCAAUCCAAAUAAGGUUUUUCUUCUAAAUGACAUAUUCAAUAAUUAAUUCUGUUGCGUGUUCCCAUACACGCAAUACAUUGCUGAAUGUUGCCUGUAGAAUACCGACAACGUCAGGUUAUUAUUACAUAGAAAUCCUGUUUAAAAAUCAACCUAUCCAAUUUAAAUUACAAAAUCCUAAACGAGUAAAACUUGAUACUUAAUGUUAAUAAAAAAAGGAUUACAGAUGGGCAAGGAAAUACAGGCAGACUACAAUUAUGUCCAAUCGAAGCUAAAUCUACAAGGUACCAAAUGUUUAACAGAGUUGUUCAUAAACACAACGUCAUCUAAAAUAGUCAUCAUAUUAUCAAUACAGCCAGCAUCUUCAUUCAGAGAAUUCAUUCACAAACAAUCUGAUAGUUUGGACUGAUACAAUCCAAGAUUUUUAAGUAGAGUGUUUUAAGUAAAGAGAAAAACAGAGUCGCGUGAAUCAGUUUCACUUCAUUUGACAGAGUCCUUGAGGAAGUCAUGCAUAGGUCCUUUCAAAGGUGACAAGGAGAAUAUGUGCAUUGCACCUACUUUGUGCGCAUUAAGGUGAUGACUGUUCAUGCGUACUCUAGAGUGCAAACAAAGGUGCACAAAGACUUAAAUGCAAAUGCUGCAUUGCACCUACUUUCUGUGCGUUCUGGUGAUAAUUGUUCAUGCGUACUCUAUAGAGUGCAAACAAAGGUGCACAAUGACCUACACUCGGGCCACACAGGUGCCACUCAUUGGUCCUACACAGGGUCUGUUAUGCUGCAUUCAGGUGCGCAUUCAGGUGAUAAUUGUUCAUGCGUACUCUAUAGAGUGCAAACAAAGGUGCACAAUGACCUGCACUCAGGCCACACAGGUGCCACUCAUUGGUCCUACACAGGGUCUGUUAUGCUGCAUUCAGGUGCGCAUUCAGGUGAUAAUUGUUCAUGCGUACUCUAUA